GCUCUCUCUUUCUCCCCUCUCAUUAUGAAACACGCUGGGGCAGCUAAGGAAUGGGGGAGAAACACCAAACCCUCACUCAUAAAUUCAAUCCUCCAUAACUUUUGAUCCAGAACUCCAAUUGAUGUGUCAUUUGCGACCACGCGACCACAACGUCGAGCUCUACAAAGUCCAGUCCUUUAUUAGGUUCGAAUUAACUUGUGGGUAUUGUCGAGUUUAGCUCAUUAGAGCUAUAGGUCAGAUGAAGGACGUGAAGCACCUCGCUGAGGCAUACUGAAAGCUUCUGAUAGCGGAGAUCCUUGUUUUUGGGACUUUAUUUUAAAUAUAUGUAUAUAUGUAGAUACUUUUAUCUCCACUACUUAUGUACUGGUGUAUUAACUUCCUCUUAGAGGUUAUUUUGGAGAAAUAGGUUCUGUAACUCUGUAUCUUGGGCUUAUUUUGGGUUCUCUUAUAUAUAUGUUAUAUACUUAUGUGCUCAAGCCGGUUUGUCUUUGCAAGCCGAGUCUUGAGUUUUGAUAUUUGUACC